UUUUCUCAGGGAAUAAGUACUGAAGGUACCUGAGGAAUCAGCAUCGGCUAACUCCGUGCCAGCAGCCGCGGUAAUACGGAGGAUGCAAGCGUCAUCCGGAAUGAUUGGGCGUAAAGCGUCCGCAGGUGGUUUUUCAAGUCUGCUGUCAAAGAGUUUGGCUUAACCAGAUAAAGGCAGUGGAAACUGAGAGACUAGAGUAUGGUAGGGGUAGAGGGAAUUCCUGGUGUAGCGGUGAAAUGCGUAGAGAUCAGGAAGAACACCGGUGGCGAAAGCGCUCUGCUGGACCAAAACUGACACUGAGGGACGAGAGCUAGGGGAGCGAAUGGGAUUAGAUACCCCAGUAGUCCUAGCCGUAAACGAUGGAUACUAGGCGUUGCCCGUAUCGACCCGGGCAGUGUCGUAGCCAACGCGUUAAGUAUCCCGCCUGGGGAGUACGCACGCAAGUGUGAAACUCAAAGGAAUUGACGGGGGCCCGCACAAGCGGUGGAGUAUGUGGUUUAAUUCGAUGCAACGCGAAGAACCUUACCAGGGCUUGACAUGUCCGGAAUCUUCUGGAAACGAGAGAGUGCCUACGGGAGCCGGAACACAGGUGGUGCAUGGCUGUCGUCAGCUCGUGUCGUGAGAUGUUGGGUUAAGUCCCGCAACGAGCGCAACCCUCGUUCUUAGUUGCCAGCACUUCGGGUGGGCACUCUAGGGAGACUGCCGGUGACAAACCGGAGGAAGGUGGGGAUGACGUCAAGUCAGCAUGCCCCUUACGUCCUGGGCUACACACCUACUACAAUGCUGUGGACAAAGGGCAGCAAGCUAGCAAUAGCAAGCAAAUCCCAUAAACCACGGCUCAGUUCAGAUCGCAGGCUGCAACUCGCCUGCGUGAAGGAGGAAUCGCUAGUAAUUGCAGGUCAGCAUACUGCAGUGAAUUCGUUCCCGGGCCUUGUACACACCGCCCGUCACACCAUGGAAGCUGGUCACGCCCGAAGUCGUUACCCUAACCUUUCGAGGAGGGGGACGCCGAAGGUAGGACUGGUGACUGGGGUGAAGU
rnacentral:rRNA from 2 species